rnacentral:tRNA from 1 species
GGCCCCAUCGUCUAGUGGCCCAGGACUCCGGGUUUUCAUCCCUGAAACAGGGGUUCGAGUCCCCUUGGUGUCA